GGGGAUAUAGUCUAAUUUGGUAAAACACUGACUUUGCACGUCGGAUUUCCAGGUUCAAUUCCUGGUAUCUCCA
rfam:Chaetomium globosum CBS 148.51 scaffold_9 mitochondrial scaffold, whole genome shotgun sequence.